rnacentral:rRNA from 1 species
GUAGUCAUAUGCUUGUCUCAAAGAUUAAGCCAUGCAUGUCUAAGUAUAAGCAAUGUGUACAGUGAAACUGCGAAUGGCUCAUUAAAUCAGUUAUCGUUUAUUUGAUAGUACCUUACUACUUGGAUAACCGUGGUAAUUCUAGAGCUAAUACGUGCUAAAAAUCCCAACCUCCGGGAGGGAUGUAUUUAUUAGAUAAAAAACCAAUGCCCUCGGGCUCUUUGGUGAUUCAUGAUAACUUAACGAAUCGCAUGGCCUUGUGCCGGCGAUGGUUCGCUCAAAUUUCUGCCCUAUCAACUUUCGAUGGUAGGAUAGUGGCCUACCAUGGUUUCAACGGGUAACGGGGAAU